ensembl:lncRNA
CUGUGACCCAGAGAGACUCUCGCAAGGUGGCUGGCCCCAGCCACUUCACUCCUAGAUGAAACCCAAGUCACCUGGAAUCCUUGGGGUGACACGGCAUGGAGAAUGCUCAUCGGUGACACUGCUGACCAACAGGAAGGCCUUUCAUUGACCAGUCUCCAGGGUCGAGUGGUCACCAUGGAGCCCAGCUUUGUGUGAGGGGCAUAAAGACCACAUGGAGAGUUCACCUCACACUUUCCUUCUCCAUCCCCGAGUUGUGCACUACUGAGACCCACAAAGCUUCUCGAAUCCACACAAUGGAUAUCAUCAGGACUGUGGCAGGAAAGCAUUACGGCUUUGAGACUCAACAAGGAAGUAAUAUGUGGAUAAUGUCCAUGAAGCCAUGUUACCGAUUUCUCUCUGAGGGUCUUCCAACUUCUUGCUGCAUUCUCAGCUGUUCACAGCCUGGAGGGGAGAGGAGGGGAUGCAGAUAAAAGAAAUGAUCGAUGUAUCUGAACUUCCCAUCCUUCCCCCAGAAGGGAGAUUCAUGGCUGACUGACAGAAGCAGGCCAGUAGUUGCUUAGAUCUGCUGGGAACGAAAUGAAAAUACGAAAAACACUGGAGCUAAAAUUCCAGAGUGCCUGCUGCCAGCCAAAGCCCAUUGACUUGCUGAAUCAACCAGAUAGAGAACAUUGUACACAAGUGGAUCCUGGACCGUCAAGUGCUGCACGAAGCUUGUCACUGGUGUCAAAGAGAGAGGAUGCUGAGCCCCUGAACUCUAUGGCUUCAAGAUGCUCCGUUUUGCCCUGGCUGGAAAAGCUGGUCAGUGUUAUUUGUAAUCAGUGUGGUGUGAGGACCAGCUGCAUCGUCAACUCCCAGGAGCCUGAUGCAACUGGAGCAUCUCAGACCCCGACCCAGACCUACUGAAUCAGAAGCCGCAGUUGAACAAGAUCCCUGGCAGCUUCGCAGUUGAGGAGGCUACAGCUUUGAGAAGUACGACCUCAUGGCCUACAGCUGGAAAGUGGCAGAGCCUGGACUGGUAGACAGCAGGUCUGUCUCCCUCAAGAGCCCAGAAGACAGUUAAACCUGAUACCAUCGCCCGGAUGCAGCAAGGCAUCUUUCCCUCCCGGUUCCUCCCACUCUGCCCCGGAACGGAUGCUCCCACACUUGAAGAUGGAAUUACAAGUGAACCAGAUUCACAAAGGGGACUCGCCGACAAUUUAUGUUAGGAGAGUAAUCAAUGUUCACAUCAUCUAUCUUACUACCCUUCUGACUGCACGAGUCAUUAUUGAGAUUUUAAGUUGUGCCCUAUUCAAUCUUUCUCUCCUUUGCUUCUGAAUCAUUUGAUUUUCUCACCCCGGAAAAUCUAACUUUUUAUGUCAACAAGAAAAAUCUCGAAACAAGGUGGUAAAACAAACACCCCAUUGACUCUCAGACUGUAAAAUAACUAACCUUCCCCCUCCCUCUUCCCACCCCCUAUUCUUCCGCCUCCCUGCUCUUUUUUUUUUUUUAGUGCAAAUGAAGCCGAGUUUCGGGCUCCCUCCCAGGCUGGAGAAUAAGUACACCCUUAGCUUGAGUGAAACAGAGAAGGUUGAAACUGAACGAUUGAAUAGAUUUGAAUUAAAACAAUUUUCUCUCAAACAAAAGCAUUUAAGAGAGUUCAGCAAAGGUUAGGCAUGCCGAGAAUGCUGUAUUUCCUGGUAUCUUCUGAUUAGCUUUUAAGAUAAUUAGUGGUGAUGGGAGUACAGCCUAAGCAACAAGGACAUUCCUGGAGAGAAGCAGGAAGGGGAGAGCUGAGAAUCCAGAGCAGUAACCCCACCGGCUGUGUUUGCAUCUGUAAAUUCUCCCUCUGGCUUCAGUGACAUCUGGGUGACCCUAGG